GGGAGAAUGGUGCAGUGGUUUAAGCGUUGGGCUAAGAACCCAAGAGACCAGGAUUCGAAUCCCCCUUUGGCCA